rnacentral:piRNA from 2 species
UCUGUGUCUCCUGAGUCUCUGCAGACCUCGGU